AUCAGUGAUGGAGGAGGAUCUAGGGAACCCUGUGGCUAAGAAGACUGAGGAGGAGUCCAGUAGUGUCCUUCUCACUUACUUCAAAGGAGACAUCAACAGCAUGGUGGAUGAACAUUUCUCCCGUGCUCUGAGUCAAGCAGCAAAACCGAAGGGAGAACGCUCCGAAAUCAAAAGAAACUGUAAAGUUGCUCAGACAAAUGGACUUGGAUCAAGUCAAUGGGAAGCACAGUCACAAACCAGGUUUCAGCACUUGUUUCCUCCAGAACAUCUCCGGGAAGGAACAAGCAGAGAGUCUCAAUCAAACCAUCAUAUGCCACCAAAUCACCAUGCAAACAGUGCUGCUCUGUGGUCAGGAGAUUCUAGGCAGGGAUUGAGUCUUGCUCUGCCCCCCAUGAUGCCCUACCCCUCAGCUGUAUCCUCUGAUGGUUUGAUGGGGACAGAACACCAGUACUCUAAUUCUCUGUUAAACUUGCUUCACAACGAUCACCCUGACACGGGCACAGUGGUGCUACCCUCCUCCAAACAAGACCUCAUGUCAGGAUGGACCAAGUACCCAGGAUUUGGCAAUCAGAUGAAUUGCAAUAUCAAUCUUAACUCUGGUGUACAGGGGAUUGAAAAAAGGGAUGUUUAUUGGUAUUAACAAUGUUAUUUGAGAUUUAAAAGGAAGAACAAAGAAGUCUUUCAUCAUUUUCUUGUUUAACUGGACCCUGCAAUGCUUCUCCUGGAGGCGUCUGUACAUCCAACCUGUUCAGAAACAAGCUCUUCAUGUACCGAAGCACAGAAGAAGAUUGUACAAGAGAUUGGCCUCAGGCUCUAUAUGGUUAAAGACGUUUUACACGCACACAGAAACACACACUAAAUCUGUUUUUCUUUUUUUUUAUUAUUAUUAUUAUUAUUUGUAGAGUGUCAGGUGGAGUUUGUUAUUGUUGUUGUUGUUUUUUAAUAGCAAACACCUGAUAGACUUUUUGUCUGAAAGCUAUUUUUAGGUCUAAAUAAAUUGAAAUGAUUUGAAAAAUUAUUACGAACA
ensembl:lncRNA